rnacentral:rRNA from 1 species
CAGUCGCCGCGGUAAAACGAAGGGGGCUAGCGUUGCUCGGAAUUACUGGGCGUAAAGGGCGCGUAGGCGGACAGUUUAGUCGGGGGUGAAAGCCCGGGGCUCAACCUCGGAAUUGCCUUCGAUACUGGCUGUCUUGAGUGUGAGAGAGGUGUGUGGAACUCCGAGUGUAGAGGUGAAAUUCGUAGAUAUUCGGAAGAACACCAGUGGCGAAGGCGACACACUGGCUCACUACUGACGCUGAGGCGCGAAAGCGUGGGGAGCAAACAGGAUUAGAUACCCCAGUAGUCCCUGUCUCUUAUAC